UACGGAGGGUGCAAGCGUUAUCCGGAUUCACUGGGUUUAAAGGGUGCGUAGGCGGAUUGGUAAGUCCGUGGUGAAAUCUUCGAGCUUAACUCGGAAACUGCCGUGGAUACUAUCAGUCUUGAAUAUCGUGGAGGUAAGCGGAAUAUGUCAUGUAGCGGUGAAAUGCUUAGAGAUGACAUAGAACACCAAUUGCGUAGGCAGCUUACUACACGAAGAGUGACGCUGAAGCACGAAAGCGUGGGGAGCAAACAGG
rnacentral:rRNA from 1 species